rnacentral:rRNA from 1 species
UACGGGGGGAGCAAGCGUUGUUCGGAUUUACUGGGCGUAAAGGGCGCGUAGGCGGUCAGCACAAGUCAGUUGUGAAAUCUCCGGGCUUAACUCGGAAAGGUCAACUGAUACUGUGCGACUAGAGUGCAGAAGGGGCAACUGGAAUUCUCGGUGUAGCGGUGAAAUGCCGUAGAUAUCGAGAGGAACACCUGCGGCGAAGGCGGGUUGCUGGGCUGACACUCGACGCUGAACUGCGAAAGCUAGGGGAGCGAACGGG